rnacentral:rRNA from 1 species
AUUGAACGCUGGCGGCAGGCCUAACACAUGCAAGUCGAGCGGAUGAAGGGAGCUUGCUCCUGGAUUCAGCGGCGGACGGGUGAGUAAUGCCUAGGAAUCUGCCUGGUAGUGGGGAUAACGUCCGGAAACGGGCGCUAAUACCGCAUACGUCCUGAGGGAGAAAGUGGGGGAUCUUCGGACCUCACGCUAUCAGAUGAGCCUAGGUCGGAUUAGCUAGUUGGUGGGGUAAAGGCCUACCAAGGCGACGAUCCGUAACUGGUCUGAGAGGAUGAUCAGUCACACUGGAACUGAGACACGGUCCAGACUCCUACGGGAGGCAGCAGUGGGGAAUAUUGGACAAUGGGCGAAAGCCUGAUCCAGCCAUGCCGCGUGUGCGAAGAAGGUCUUCGGAUUGUAAAGCACUUUAAGUUGGGAGGAAGGGCAGUAAGUUAAUACCUUGCUGUUUUGACGUUACCAACAGAAUAAGCACCGGCUAACUUCGUG